GUGUGUCACCCCUCCCACCUCCCUCUGUGGAGACGCAAAGUCAAGAGUAGGAAGAAGCCAACCUCUGAGGUAAGGCUUCCCCUGGAAGGCCCAGGGCUGGGGCUCUCUCCUUUCAGAGCUCAGUUAGACCCAGACACACGGCAGGGAGUCCCAGGGGUAGUGGCAGGCCCCCUCCAGGAAACUCACAAGGUUACCACAGCUCAACUGAAAAGGAAGAACUUCCCAGGACUGUGACACCCCAGUGUGAGAACAGGAGGAUGAGGUGCUGUGAAGGCCUGUCUGCCCACAGUCUGCCCUCUUAUUCCUCCUGCAGGUCACAACCCCCAGGAGACCUGGAGAACUGAAUGCUGCUGCCCCCAAGGAGGAGGCUGCUGUCUUAUCCCAGGAGGGAGAGCAGGAAAAUAAAAAGGUUCAAAAGGAAGUUGCUGCGUAUCCAUCUGAGGCCUCUGAGGACAGCAAAGAGCAAAGGCCCUGGGAGCGGGUCUCCGUACCCAUGACAGAGCUCUGGCUGGACUGGUUCUCAGCCUCUAACACCCCCAACACUCAGAACCGUGAAGAAAAACUUUCCAAUAAAUCCAAGAGUUGCUGCUGCCA
rnacentral:antisense_RNA from 1 species